ACAACAUUCGGACCGACUGUCUACCGAGCAUAUCACCUGCUCGGUGGAAGACAUCCCCUUCGUCAU
rnacentral:pre_miRNA from 1 species